rnacentral:ncRNA from 1 species
ACUUUAGGGGUGUCUGCAAUAAAUGCAGGCUGAGAUCUAACCCUUGGAACCUGAUCUGGAUCAUACCAGCGUAGGGAAAAGUAAAAC